rnacentral:misc_RNA from 1 species
ACCGAGUUAUACAACUCAUCAACCCUGUGAACAUACCUAUAACGUUGCCUCGGCGGGAACAGACGGCCCUGUAACACGGGCCGCCCCCGCCAGAGGACCCCCUAACUCUGUUUCUAUAAUGUUUCUUCUGAGUAAACAAGCAAAUAAAUUA